rnacentral:rRNA from 1 species
AGAGUUUGAUCCUGGCUCAGGAUGAACGCUGGCGGCGUGCCUAACACAUGCAAGUCGAACGAAGAACACGGACGGAAGCCUUCGGGUCAAAGACUGUGUUACUUAGUGGCGGACGGGUGAGUAACGCGUGGGGAACCUGCCCUGUACAGGGGGAUAACAGCCGGAAACGGCUGCUAAUACCGCAUAAGCGCAUAGUGCCGCAUGGCACGGUGUGAAAAACUCCGGUGGUACAGGAUGGACCCGCGUCUGAUUAGCCAGUUGGCGGGGCAACGGCCCACCAAAGCGACGAUCAGUAGCCGGCCUGAGAGGGCGGACGGCCACAUUGGGACUGAGACACGGCCCAGACUCCUGCGGGAGGCAGCAGUGGGGAAUAUUGCACAAUGGGGGGAACCCUGAUGCAGCGACGCCGCGUGAGCGAAGAAGUAUUUCGGUAUGUAAAGCUCUUUAAGUGGGGACGAAGAAAGUGACGGUACCCACAGAAUAAGCCUCGGCUAACUACGUGCCAGCAGCCGCGGUAAUACGUAGGAGGCAAGCGUUAUCCGGAAUGACUGGGCGUAAAGGGUGCGUAGGUGGCUCGGCAAGUUAGUAGCGUAAUCCCGGGGCUCAACUUCGGAACUACUACUAAAACUGUCGGGCUUGAGUGCAGGAGGGGCAAAUGGAAUUCCUAGUGUAGCGGUGGAAUGCGUAGAUAUUAGGAAGAACACCAGUGGCGAAGGCGAUUUGCUGGACUGUAACUGACACUGAGGCACGAAAGCGUGGGGAGCAAACAGGAUUAGAUACCCUGGAAGUCCACGCCGUAAACGAUGAAUACUAGGUGUAGGGGGUAUCGACUCCCUCUGUGCCGUCGCAAACGCAUUAAGUAUUCCGCCUGGGGACUACGGCCGCAAGGUUGAAACCUAAAGAAAUGGACGGGGACCCGCACAAGCAGCGGAGCAUGGGGAUUAAUUCGACGCAACGCGAAAAACCUUACCAGAACUUGACAUCAAGUGAUCAUCCUUGUAAUGAGGACUUCCCUUCGGGGACACGAAGACAGGUGUUGCAUGGUUGUCGUCAGCUCGUGUCGUGAGAUGUUAGGUUAAGUCCUGCAACGAGCGCAACCCUCGUGGAUAGUUGCCAUUAUUCAGUUAGGAACUCUAUCCAGACCGCCGUAGUUUAUACGGAGGAAGGUGGGGAUGACGUCAAAUCAUCACGGCCCUUACGUUCUGGGCUUCACCCGUGCUACAAUGGCUAUUACAAAGAGUCGCGAUACCGUAAGGUGGAGCCAAUCUCAUAAAGAUAGUCUCAGUUCAGAUUGUGGGCUGCAACCCGCCCACAUGAAGUAGGAGUUGCUAGUAAUCCCGAAUCAGCAUGUCGGGGUGAAUGCGUUCCCGGGUCUUGCACUCACCGCCCGUCA